GUCCAUAGAACGCGGUGAUUGGUGAAUCAAGUCUACUCACGUGAUGGACAUCUCGUCGGAAGUUAUGUGGUUAGAUUUUUGUUGUUGUUAAAAAAACAAAUACAGACCUGCUAUGACACUAGAGAUCUUCUCCAGGUUGGACUACCACCGUCUAGCCCUGGAGCAGCUGGAAGCCAACCAGACAGCCAUGGACAUUCUGGGAGCACCACCCCCCGAAGGUCCACAACAUCCACCUUUCUGACCUGCACAACUAUGUGGAACUUUACUGCUCUCUGGGGGUCAUUCCUCCUACAUGGGAGCCAACUAGCAGCAUAACUGUUUGCUAUCAAUAUUCUAGUGGCAAUAUUAUUCUAUAGAAAGACAGGAAAUUGAUUGAUACAUUGAAGGUCAGUGUGGACUUACAGUCUAAGUACAUGAAGGUAAUUUGACCUAAUGCAUACAGUACCUUUGUCUUCUCCCUGGCAGCGCUAGGCAGAAUUUAACAGGCAGUGCUCUAGAGGGUAAGCUUAGACCACACCACUGUCAGAUAAGACAGGACUUGACACAGCCAAACUGGUCUUCCUGAUCUACUCACCAGAACUAGUGUGAUGAAGGUAUAACUGCUGCACUCGUCCGCCUCCCCAUGUCAGUCGCAGACUUGUACCCAUAGCACUUUGACAUGCAUUCUUUCAGGACACCAUUGGACCUUGUUUUGACAACAGCAUACACAAGAUGCUUCCUGGUUUAAAAUCACCACAGAAAUAUAAUUGCUUUGACCAAUGUUUAUUGAUGCUUUGUACAUCCUUAAGACAUUUACAUACAUUGUACAAGGAAAUAAGUGCCAUUUAUGCAUUACAAACAGUAUAAACAGUGCUGUCCUGAGCAAUAUGUACAUGCCUUAGGAGAAUGAAGGUACUGUAAAGAGCAAAUUAACAAUGUAAUUGCUUAGUACAAAGCCAUCAUAUCUUUAUAGCCGGCACUUGGAAAAACUAAUUUAGUCAUUGGUUCCAGUUGUACUAUACACAAUCUGUGCGACCAGAAAAUGUCUCCCAUAGUGUUCUAUUGCACUGUUGUAUGAUUGAUUAAUUAGGACAUUACUAUUUAUUCACAGUGAAAACAAAAUAUUUAAGACAUGGAAAUAAGUGAUAGAUUAGUUGAAGUUAUGAUGAACAAUUGUACUCAUGAAAGCUGAACGUACUGCAUGAAUAUUAGGAAAAGAAUGGUAAACAAGCAGAACAUGAACGAUUGACCGAAUGUGGAAGAAUGGCAGACAAAACGUCAGUAGUUCAUUAAAAUAGUUUUAAAAUUAAUAAAAAUGUGAUGCAGACAGA